rnacentral:rRNA from 1 species
ACAGAGGGUGCAAGCGUUGUUCGGAAUUAUUGGGCGUAAAGAGCUCGUAGGCGGCUUGUCACGUCGAUUGUGAAAGCCCGAGGCUUAACCUCGGGUCUGCAGUCGAUACGGGCUAGCUAGAGUGUGGUAGGGGAGAUCGGAAUUCCUGGUGUAGCGGUGGAAUGCGCAGAUAUCAGGAGGAACACCAAUGGCGAAGGCAGGUCUCUGGGCCACAACUGACGCUGAGGAGCGAAAGCAUGGGUAGCGAACAGGA